rnacentral:lncRNA from 1 species
UUGAUUCUAAAGGCCAACAACCCACCCUCACCCCCACCUCAACUAGUCGUAUUGGCCGGGGAUUAUGGUAAGCUACCUUGGAUAUGAAAAAUUCCUAAAAUUUCUGUAUUUGAAGAUCUUCUUCAAACUCUGAUUACUGUAUCUUUGAAGAUAGGGAACUUGAAUAACAGUUUUACCUUCUAAUUCAUAUGCUUCGAUCCAUGCAAGCCGUAAGUUAAGAUCAACCAAAGAUUUCUCAUAAUGCAGGCUUUGUCCCGGGUGAGCAGAUCUUUUAAGCCAAACCAAACCUCCAUUCAUCUUUUGGGUGGCAAAUAGCUUAUCAACUAACGUUAGCCGCUCGCACUACCUUCCCUGUCCUUCCAAAGCAACGCAUAUCAUAGCCGAGUAGCCCUCUUCGCUACUCUCCGAGGCAGUACGAGGUUCCUACACCAUAAAUUUUGAAUGCUAAACAGUAGCACUUGAAUAAGUUUAAGUCUCCCUGCAAAGGAUAAAUUAUACAUUUUAUCUUUUAGGUUAUUUUUCAACCGAAGGAUUGCAAUCCCUUCCACGGAACUUUUUUUUUUGUAGGUAUCUUAUAGGAAGUGAUCCUUAUCUUAAAACCAGUUUUAUCAACCAUCUCCUGUAUCAGUUUUUGAUUGAUCCCAAAACAGAACAACUCACUCUUUAAGGGAUUUAAUUUCAAGCCAAAGAUCCUGUAAAAUGUGUCCAUGAUGCUGGUUCCAAUUUUUCUUUGGUAAAAAUCAAUCAAUCAUUUGGAAGCAUAAAUGUGUAAGGUUAAGAUACCUGCACAAUGGUAUUUGAAAGGCUUGAUAGCAAGAGCAGCAUCUGAAACUAAAGAACUUUGGCGUGGUAGCACAACCCUUAAUCCAAUCAACAAAGAGCUUGAGAAAUUUCAUGACCUAAGGUUCCAAUCUAAGAAAUCAAAUGCCUUCUUAAUCUAUCAUGAUUCAUCAGCCGGCGCCUUAUUGUUAUUGACCUUAACUUAGAUGAGUGCAACCAACACAUUCUGCACGUCAGUAGGGAGAGCCAUUUGCUGCAAAUCCUUAAUUUGGCAGUCCAGCUUAUAAUUCUUCUUCUUUUUUUUCCAUGGCUCCAUCAUUGAAGUGGGAAAUAACUGUCAAGGAUAAUCUUAUCGUUACAGACAUCCAUGUCGAAAAG